rnacentral:rRNA from 1 species
GACGAACGCUGGCGGCGUGCUUAACACAUGCGAGUCGAACGGAAAGGCCUGCUUUCCCUUGUGGAUUGCGGGUACUCGAGUGGCGAACGGGUGAGUAACACGUGAGUGAUCUGCCCCCAACUUGGGUAUAAGCCUGGGAAACUGGGUCUAAUUCCCGAUAGGACUGCAGGGUGGUGCCUGUGGUGGAAAACGAUUUUCUAGUGGUUGGGGAUGAGCUCGCGGCCUAUCAGCUUGUUGGUGGGGUAAUGGCCUACCAAGGCGGCGACGGGUAGCCGGCCUGGGAGGGUGGACGGCCACAUUGGGACUGGGAUACGGCCCAGACUCCUACGGGAGGCAGCAGUGGGGAAUAUUGCACAAUGGGCGGAAGCCUGAUGCAGCGACGCCGCGUGGGGGAUGACGGCCUUCGGGUUGUAAACUCCUUUCGACCGCGAGGAAGCCACCUGGUUGGAAGGGUGGUGACGGUAGUGGUAGAAGAAGCACCGGCUAACUACGUG